rnacentral:pre_miRNA from 8 species
GUCCAUAUACUCCCCUAAAACCGAAUCUGUGAAUUUGCUGUGUAAACACACAUUCGGUUCUACAGGGUAUAUAUAGA